UCUAAUAUAUAGCUUAUAUUAUUUAUUUCAUAACUUAUAAUUAAAUUAAAUAUACAUUAUAUAUGCUAAAUCUUACAUCUAGUAUAAACAUUAUCAACAUAUAAUAAAACAUAUAAUAUAAUAUUCAUUGUUUGUGUUAAUAUUAAAAUAUUAAUAAUUUGUACCUAUCUAGUUUACAGUUGUAAUUAUUAAUAUUUACAUAUUAAACAAACUAUAGAUUAAUGAAAGGAAACAUAUUUCGGAAUGUUUCUAAUAUUUUUUAAUUGGUUCAUGUUCAUUUGUUGUAAUAAUAGUUGACUUCCGAGUCUUCACGCAUCAGCCCCAUAGCUGAGUGAACAAAAAAACAAUAAGCCACUAAUAUAAACGGACAGUUCGUUAAACCGUACAUAUUAUAAUUUUCAGUUCAUCGGAGUGAGAUGAUUAGAUGGAGAUGGAUGAAGAUGGCUGUUUCUUCGGCGAUGGCGGCACUCUAGCUACGUUUCACCGGAAGAGUAGAUGUUUACGAAGUCGUUGCAGAAGACACAUUCGACUAAAAAUUCUAAAAUUUCAAUAAGCAAAGAAGAUAUUCUAAGUUCUGGCUGUAUUCUGGAGCGUUUCCUCAUGGGCGUCGCAAUUCACACACGUCACGGAUUCCGCCGAAGGAGUCGAUAAUUAAAACUGAACUUUUGGAUCGGAGAUAUGAAGACGCGCGCUGCAUUUUCCUUGGCGGAGAUGCACAGCUCUGACACUAGACAAUAUUAUACACUCGAAGGGAACGCGUUUCGCCGGAAGAAUAAAUAAUUACUAAUGGUAUUCGUCAGUGAACAUUUUCAAACUGGGAAUAAUAUAUCAUAAGCAGAUUGAAAUGUGUGAACGUUUCAGUGUUUCGAAGACUAAGUUUCGUAGCAGAUUUCGAUUCCGUCACGGGAUUCUGAGCGAAGCGAUGAACGUAUUGAUUUUACAAUUAUGUACCUCAACUCGACGUUGCUGUAAGUCCAGUCCAAUAAUAACAAUGGCGUAUCAGACGUCGCUCCCAAACCGGUCGACAUCCAUCUGCAUAACUCAUUCCGCAAGAAUGAGCGGUAUAGUUUGAAAACUUACCAAAGUUAUCUGGUGGAUGUCGAUACGUUGGUGAGCAGCCGUCGCACAUAGGUCUGAUGUACCUAUGGAAAGUUAUUAUUGGAUCGGUCAUAAUAGGUUGAGGUGUAACAGCAUUUUAGGGACUAUUGUAAUUCCCACUUCCAGGACUUUAUCAUACAUACAGCCGACAGCCCGAUGACCUACAUUUUUGUGUAUACCCUAUGAUGGCCGCGAAGUAACGAUCACGUCACCGUUUAUCAGAUUGCCCAGUUCGAAAGAGUCUCCAACAAUUUCAUCGGAUAGGUACGCCUUAAACCGUGGCAUAGCGCUGGGCCAGCAUCAUUUUGUCCGGAUCAAUAUCCAUAAAAAUGACGUCCCAAUUAUUAGAAGCUAAUAAUAUAGUGUCUUUGUCGAACAGUCAGCUGUACGAAGUUUCCGCUGUGCCACAAAACGGGUCGACGCCGGUCGCUGAACAUGGGAAGUCCUCAAGUCCACCCAGCAUCGUAUUGAUGAAUCAACAAUAUAUCUUACAUCUUACAUCUAUCAUUGCAAUCUUAUAAUUAUUCACCUGAAUGCAUGUAAUCCUGAAUGUACAGUUAAUUUAUUACUACCCAUCUACAAA